rnacentral:tRNA from 1 species
GCCGGGGUACCUCAGCUGGCUAGAGGCGUUUGCCGGACAAAGGGCCGCGCUCAUAACGCGGUUGUCGUGGGUUCGAAUCCCACCCCCGGCA